UACGAAGGGAGCUAGCGUUGUUCGGAAUCACUGGGCGUAAAGCGCACGUAGGCGGAUGUGUCAGUCAGGGGUGAAAUCCCGGAGCUCAACUUCGGAACUGCCUUUGAUACAGCACGUCUUGAGUCCGAUAGAGGUGGGUGGAAUUCCUAGUGUAGAGGUGAAAUUCGUAGAUAUUAGGAAGAACACCGGUGGCGAAAGGCGGCCCACUGGAUCGGUACUGACGCUGAGGUGCGAAAGCGUGGGGAGCAAACAGG
rnacentral:rRNA from 1 species